GCUUGUUGUUCUCUGAUUGCACCUGGUGUAAUUAGGUCUUGAGUAAUCAUAGGAAGAUGGGACCAUAUCAUCAGAUGGCAUCUGAGCUAAUCAGCCUCCACUUUGAAGGAGCACUUGGACCACUGCUCUCUUUGGGUGACUCCAUCAUUGGACCACUGCUCUCAAAGAGUGGUCAGACACUGGAAUGGGCUGCCCAGGGAGGUGGUGGAGUCACCGACCCUGGAGGUGUUCAAGGAAUGUUUGGACGUUGUGUUGAAGGACAUGGUUUAAUGAGAACUAUUGGUGAUGGGUGGAUGGUUGGAUUGGAUGAUCUUGUAGCUCAUUUCCAACCUUGGUGAUUCUAUGUUUCUAUGGCCAAGUUCCAUUAAUGUUCCCCAGAUCAAUCAACUCACAAGUACAGAUGAAGUGAAUACCACACUGUUAGUGAUGCCUGGCACUGUUUUGGCCCAGGGCAACUAUCACAUGCAUAGGCAUGCCAUCUUGGAAGGUGGUAUGGGUAGGGACUGUUCUGUGUGUCGUUGAGAUCAGGUCUUUCUAGGGGAUGAGUCACCUGGUGUACUUUGGGCGGCUUCCUCAGAAUGAGACAAGGAAGUUCAAGGAGGGCACUGACAUGAAGUAUCUUCUGUAAAGAGGAUGAUCAAGUCAUGACUUUCCAGAUUAGAAAGAAAGAUUUGUAAGAAAGAUAUGUGAGAAAGGCAUAUAAAAGCCAGCAAAGAAGUAGUGAUCAGUUGUCCACUGCCUUUGCAAGUGCAGGAAGAGGAAAACUAGCAAGUAGCAGGUUCAAAGGAAACAAAACGUUGUUUUUGAAGCUAUGUGUGACAUAGUGGAAUUGUAUCUCACAGGAUGUUGUAAACGCUAACAUUUUGCAAGGGAUCAAGGGAAUGUGGAGAAUGUAAUGGAAAUGAAGGACAUCAAGGGUAUUAUAUGUACGAUAUACAAAUAUAUCAUUUCUGUCUCAGUUGGAAUUGCUGGAGAUCAAAAGAGUGUUCUAAGGAAGUGUCUUAAUGUGUUUGCUUUAUCCUAGUUUCCUGACAGGUCUGUUUGGACAAUCCUCAGGACCAGCACAUCGGUCUAGAUCAGACAUGUCCAACCUGCAGCCUGCAAGCUGCACACAGCCCAGGACAGUCAGUAAUGCAACCCCACAAGAACAUAAACUUUUAACAUUAUUACGUGUUUUUUAGUGAUGAUUUUAAUCCAGGGCUGCAUGGGAAUGGUUGACCACCCAGCAUGGCAGGCAAGCUGAGGCAGAAAUACAGAUAGGGGCCCACAGCCUUUCUGAGCUGACAUACGCACCCAGAUGAACCUCCCAAGGAACAAGAGAGUUGCCCAGAUGUUCAGGUGUGGGAAGCUCUGGAAUCUAGAGAUCACAAAAGGGAUUGAGGUAGGUGAGGGUUGGUGUGGUUGCAGUUGUGCCCAACUUGAUGAUCUUUCUGAGCAGCUGAACAGGCUGUGAGAGGAAGUUGCCAGGCUGAGAGGUAUUCAGCAGUCUGAGAGAUUGAUGCCUGGUAUCGUGGUGGUGUGGGCAGACAGACUGUCUGGUCUUGAAGCCGAACCAGGGGAGGAAGAUGAGCAGGCUUCCCACCUGACAGAGAGUAAACGUGCAGGGUGAGGGAGGCUGGACCUUUGUCUCUCCAUAGGACAAAAGGAGAAACCUCUCCCUUACUCCUGAAGUCCCACUAACCAAGAGCUUUCAAGCUCUGGUGUGGGAGAAAAAAAGAAGGUAUGGGUUGAGGCUCAGAACCAGAAAGAAGCAACCACAUUAAAAAGGUCUAAAUGCCUAAAAAGAGACAAAGGAUCUUAGUAAUUGGAGACUCUUUGCUGAGAGGCACUGAAGUGCCCAUUUGCUGCCCAGAUAACC
ensembl:lncRNA